rnacentral:sRNA from 1 species
CCCACCAUUUUUAUGGUUAAGCCCAUACGGACAGGCGGGGCAACUGCCG